ensembl:lncRNA
CUGAGGGGCACGCAACAGUGAUCACCCUGGGUCAGCAAGGGGUCAGCUAGAUAUUCUGAUUCUUUGGGGUUGAAUGAUAUUCUGCUGAUCUAAAUGCACUUUGCCUGGAACAAAUGCUGUAACUGGUCUCUGUCCUUCAGUGUUUCCUCCUCCAACAAGCUAUCGUCAACAUGUUGCCACGGAAACUGAGGAUAUACAAGGAAGCACAAGGCCUCUGAGGCCCCGGUUUGGAGUCAAAACACAGCUCCUUUCUCCUUUCACUUUGUCUUAUUGGCUAAACCAGGUGCAAGACUAAUCCCAGAAAGGACACUGGAGGUCCAUGAAAGAGGCACACACUGGAAAAGAUAGAUCCUCCUCUAGGUUCUCACAUCUGUGUCGGUCCAUGGUCAUGUCUGUCACCAAGUGAAGCAAAUGAAAGUGUCCACAGGAAAUGGCCAACACCUUGAACCAGCUCCUGCUCCAGAACCAGUUCAUGAGGACCCAAAAGAGGACUUCAUUUCCUAUGCAGUCAGCUAAAGCUAGAGUUGGAAAGAAGGUCUGUGGGUUGCAAGAAACCCGUGCCCAAUUUUAGAAAGUCAUCACACUUAAAUUAAUCAGACCCCCAAAAACAUUCACCAACCAAGCAUGAGCUGGUCACCCACCAUGUGCCUACCCAGGGAGGACAUCUGGAUCUUCCUGUCUUUGGAGCACAGCUGGCAAAGGCAUGCCAUCACCUCUCUGCCACAGAUGGACCGAAUCAGGGAGGUAGGGCAGAACUGUGGAUGGGUCCUGUGCGGAAACACAACAGGAUGAAGGACGGCCUCUUGUUUCCUACUCUGAGACGCUAGCCAAACCAGGGAACCAUGAGAGAGACUUUCCCAGGUGAACAUGCUAAGGAGCAGAGCCACUGGGGAGAAGGGGGUGUAAAGAAAGAUCCUGGAAAAACUCCAAUUUUUUUCUGUGAUCUCCCCUAGCAAGUUAGAGAUCUGGGACACACUGAUUCACAAUUUAAAAGUUCUCAUUUGGCAUUGAUUUAUGGAAUGGCCAAUCUGGGCCUAAUCAGUAGGAUUUUUUUGUUGUUGUUGUUAUUGUUCUAAUAUUGUUAUAUUUAUGAGCCCAUGAAUACUUCUUGGCUGCCGCCCUGCCUGGAGUCUACAGCAGCACAAGACAUCUGAAAUCCCAAGAGGGGAGUUCAAGUUUCAUUUUCUGCCUCCACAUAACUAUGUGUUAGAAGUUCCUAGUGCCAUCUCAGUAAAAUUCUGAAUGUACAUAUUUUUAACCCCCAUAAAUGCUCAGACAGACUUGCCUGUAGCUCUGUGAGCCUGCCAGAUUGCUUCUGUCUUUCCUUCUCAAACUAUGGCAGUCACUGGCCUGAAGCUGUGUUGGAAGCACACUGGACACUUCCCAGCUGCACGGGUUGGGAGUGGUGUUUAUUUGCUCAGAGAAAGCCCCAUUGAGGCUGUGCAGAGUUCAGUGGGUUAUCGUGCACUUCCGGCUUGAUUUGUGGUUGUUCUGGUUCAGUGAGUGACCUGGCUAGACAGGAACUAGUUGAGAUGUUGCGAUGGUUGAGAGGAAACAGAGGUAGCCAGAUCGCAAGCAUCUUUAUAUUUCCCUAUGACGGGAAAGACAUUUUUCUUCCGAAACACUGGCCUGAUGUCUGUUCUCCACCCACACCACAUGUCAUCCCCAGCCAUGGCAACAUUUCAACCAGAUCCUGUCUAGCCAAGCCACUGCUAGGAUACCUUGGUCAAGAGGCUCAUCUCUGCAGAUCUAUGAGCCUAUAUUCCACCCUACUUAUCUUAGGACAUUUCCUGUCAUUUAUCACAAAGAGCAACAGCAAAAAAAUAUAAGAAAGGCCCCUGGUGUCUGAGGGGUGAUGGAGGAGAGUUGCAGUGUCAGAUCUGGGUCCCAGAAGAUGGCCCAUUAUCCUUUGAGGAUGAAAUCUCAACAGUCUGGGAAGACUUGAAAACCAUGGCUGGGUGAACAAUGGAGUGUACCUGCUAGGCCAGACUUUGUCAAGCUUCUCUCAGAAAGAACCAGAGUAUGGAUAUUUUUAACUGGGUAUCACAUAUGGUCUCUGUCCUAGAGUUUGGUUUUUGUACAGCAAUAAUUUAAGUAUUUCUAAGUCAUCCUGAGUCUCCAGGAUUACAAACACUGGUCACCAUGGAAUGCUGAUCCUUGGUUUAGAUGAAAUAAAAACAUUUUGC